rnacentral:misc_RNA from 1 species
GAUGAAGAACGUAGCGAAAUGUGAUAAGUAGUGUGAAUUGCAGAAUUCAGUGAAUCAUCGAAUCUUUGAACGCACAUUGCGCCCCUUGGUAUUCCAUGGGGCAUGCCUGUUCGAGCGUCAUUUGUACCCUCAAGCUUUGCUUGGUGUUGGGUGUUUGUCCCGCGUUGCGCGUGGACUCGCCUUAAAGCGAUUGGCAGCCGGCAUAUUGGCCUUCGAGCGCAGCACAUUUUGCGCUUCUAGUCAUGAAUGUUGGCGUCCAUUAAGCCUAUACAUUUGCUCUUGACCUCGGAUCAGGUAGGGAUACCCGCUGAACUUAAGCAUAUCAAUAAGCGGAGGA